GAUGAACGCUGGCGGCGUGCCUAAUGCAUGCAAGUCGAGCGAAUGGAUUAAGAGCUCGCUCUUAUGAAGUUAGCGGCGGACGGGUGAGUAACACGUGGGUAACCUGCCCAUAAGACUGGGAUAACUCCGGGAAACCGGGGCUAAUACCGGAUAACAUUUUGAACCGCAUGGUUCGAAAUUGAAAGGCGGCUUCGGCUGUCACUUAUGGAUGGACCCGCGUCGCAUUAGCUAGUUGGUGAGGUAACGGCUCACCAAGGCAACGAUGCGUAGCCGACCUGAGAGGGGGAUCGGCCACACUGGACUGAGACACGGCCCAGACUCCUACGGGAGGCAGCAGUAGGGAAUCUUCCGCAAUGGACGAAAGUCUGACGGAGCAACGCCGCGUGAGUGAUGAAGGCUUUCGGGUCGUAAAACUCUGUUGUUAGGGAAGAACAAGUGCUAGUUGAAUAAGCUGGCACCUUGACGGUACCUAACCAGAAAGCCACGGCUAACUACGUGCCAGCCGCCGCAGUAA
rnacentral:rRNA from 1 species